rnacentral:rRNA from 1 species
CAGUAGCCGCGGGAAUACGAAGGGGGCUAGCGUUGUUUGGAUUUACUGGGCGUAAAGGGCGCGUAGGCGGACUGAUAAGUCAGGGGUGAAAUCCCAAGGCUCAACCUUGGAACUGCCUUUGAUACUGUUUGUCUUGAGUUCGAGAGAGGUAAGUGGAACUGCGAGUGUAGAGGUGAAAUUCGUAGAUAUUCGCAAGAACACCAGUGGCGAAGGCGGCUUACUGGCUCGAAACUGACGCUGAGGCGCGAAAGCGUGGGGAGCAAACAGGAUUAGAUACCCCGGUAGUCCCUGUCUCUUAUAC